GGAGGGUGCAAGCGUUAAUCGGAAUUACUGGGCGUAAAGCGAGUGUAGGUGGUCGAGUAAGUCGGAUGUGAAAGCCCUGGGCUUAACCUGGGAACUGCAUUCGAUACUGCUUGGCUAGAGUCUGAUAGAGGGAAGUGGAAUUCCAGGUGUAGCGGUGAAAUGCGUAGAUAUCUGGAGGAACAUCAGUGGCGAAGGCGGCUUCCUGGAUCAAGACUGACACUGAGGCUCGAAAGCGUGGGGAGCAAACAGGAUUAGAUACCCUGGUAGUCCACGCCCUAAACUAUGUCAACUAGACGUUGGGUUCUUUAAUGAACUUAGUGUCGAAGCUAACGCGUUAAGUUGACCGCCUGGGGAGUACGGCCGCAAGGUUG
rnacentral:rRNA from 1 species